rnacentral:rRNA from 1 species
UACGUAGGGCGCAAGCGUUAUCCGGAUUUAUUGGGCGUAAAGAGCUCGUAGGCGGCUUGUCGCGUCGACUGUGAAAACCCGCGGCUCAACUGCGGGCCUGCAGUCGAUACGGGCAGGCUAGAGUUCGGUAGGGGAGACUGGAAUUCCUGGUGUAGCGGUGAAAUGCGCAGAUAUCAGGAAGAACACCCGUGGCGAAGGCGGCUCUCUGGGACGGUACUGACGCUGAGACGCGAAAGCGUGGGGAGCGAACAGG